AGAGUUUGAUCAUGGCUCAGAAUCAACGCUGGCGGCGUGCCUAACACAUGCAAGUCGAACGCGAAAGUCCCGCAAGGGAUCAGUAGAGUGGCAAACGGGUGAGUAACACGUGGGUGACCUGCCUUCGAGCGGGGGAUAACGUCCCGAAAGGGACGCUAAUACCGCAUGACAUCCUGCCUUUGAAGAGGCGGAGAUCAAAGCUGGGGAUCGCAAGACCUAGCACUUGAAGAGGGGCCCGCGUCCGAUUAGCUAGUUGGUGGGGUAACGGCUCACCAAGGCAACGAUCGGUAGCCGGCCUGAGAGGGCGGACGGCCACACUGGGACUGAGACACGGCCCAGACUCCUACGGGAGGCAGCAGUGGGGAAUUGUUCGCAAUGGGCGCAAGCCUGACGACGCAACGCCGCGUGGAGGAUGAAGAUCUUCGGGUCGUAAACUCCUUUCGAUCGAGACGAACGGCUUCCGGGUGAACAAUCCGGGAGAGUGACGGUACCGAGAGAAGAAGCCCCGGCUAACUCCGUGCCAGCAGCCGCGGUAAUACGGGGGGGGCAAGCGUUGUUCGGAAUUACUGGGCGUAAAGGGCUCGUAGGCGGCCAACUAAGUCAGACGUGAAAUCCCUCGGCUUAACCGGGGAACUGCGUCUGAUACUGGAUGGCUUGAGGUUGGGAGAGGGAUGCGGAAUUCCAGGUGUAGCGGUGAAAUGCGUAGAUAUCUGGAGGAACACCGGUGGCGAAGGCGGCAUCCUGGACCAAUUCUGACGCUGAGGAGCGAAAGCCAGGGGAGCAAACGGGAUUAGAUACCCUAGUAGUCC
rnacentral:rRNA from 1 species